AGGGCGCACGGUGGAUGCCUUGACACUAGGAGUCGAUGAAGGACGGGACUAACGCCGAUAUGCUUCGGGGAGCUGUAAGUAAGCUUUGAUCCGAAGAUUUCCGAAUGGGGAAACCCACCAUACGUAAUGGUAUGGUAUCCUUAUCUGAAUACAUAGGGUAAGGAAGACAGACCCAGGGAACUGAAACAUCUAAGUACCUGGAGGAAGAGAAAGCAAAUGCGAUUUCCUGAGUAGCGGCGAGCGAAACGGAACAUAGCCCAAACCAAGAGGCUUGCCUCUUGGGGUUGUAGGACAUUCUAUACGGAGUUACAAAGGAACGAGGUAGACGAAGCGACCUGGAAAGGUCCGUCGUAGAGGGUAACAACCCCGUAGUCGAAACUUCGUUCUCUCUUGAAUGUAUCCUGAGUACGGCGGAACACGUGAAAUUCCGUCGGAAUCUGGGAGGACCAUCUCCCAAGGCUAAAUACUCCCUAGUGAUCGAUAGUGAACCAGUACCGUGAGGGAAAGGUGAAAAGCACCCCGGAAGGGGAGUGAAAGAGAUCCUGAAACCGUGUGCCUACAAAUAGUCAGAGCCCGUUAACGGGUGAUGGCGUGCCUUUUGUAGAAUGAACCGGCGAGUUACGAUCCCGUGCGAGGUUAAGCUGAAGAGGCGGAGCCGCAGCGAAAGCGAGUCUGAAUAGGGCGUUUAGUACGUGGUCGUAGACCCGAAACCAGGUGAUCUACCCAUGUCCAGGGUGAAGUUCAGGUAACACUGAAUGGAGGCCCGAACCCACGCACGUUGAAAAGUGCGGGGAUGAGGUGUGGGUAGCGGAGAAAUUCCAAUCGAACCUGGAGAUAGCUGGUUCUCCCCGAAAUAGCUUUAGGGCUAGCCUUAAGUGUAAGAGUCUUGGAGGUAGAGCACUGAUUGGACUAGGGGUCCUCAUCGGAUUACCGAAUUCAGUCAAACUCCGAAUGCCAAUGACUUAUCCUUAGGAGUCAGACUGCGAGUGAUAAGAUCCGUAGUCAAAAGGGAAACAGCCCAGACCGCCAGCUAAGGUCCCAAAGUGUGUAUUAAGUGGAAAAGGAUGUGGAGUUGCUUAGACAACUAGGAUGUUGGCUUAGAAGCAGCCACCAUUUAAAGAGUGCGUAAUAGCUCACUAGUCGAGUGACUCUGCGCCGAAAAUGUACCGGGGCUAAAUACACCACCGAAGCUGCGGAUUGAUACCGAAUGGUAUCAGUGGUAGGGGAGCGUUCUAAGGACAGUGAAGUCAGACCGUAAGGACUGGUGGAGUGCUUAGAAGUGAGAAUGCCGGUAUGAGUAGCGAAAGACGGGUGAGAAUCCCGUCCACCGAAUGCCUAAGGUUUCCUGAGGAAGGCUCGUCCGCUCAGGGUUAGUCAGGACCUAAGCCGAGGCCGACAGGCGUAGGCGAUGGACAACAGGUUGAUAUUCCUGUACCACCUCUUUAUCGUUUGAGCAAUGGAGGGACGCAGAAGGAUAGAAGAAGCGUGCGAUUGGUUGUGCACGUCCAAGCAGUUAGGCUGAUAAGUAGGCAAAUCCGCUUAUCAUAAAGGCUGAGCUGUGAUGGGGAAGCUCCUUAUGGAGCGAAGUCUUUGAUUCCCCGCUGCCAAGAAAAGCUUCUAGCGAGAUAAAAGGUGCCUGUACCGCAAACCGACACAGGUAGGCGAGGAGAGAAUCCUAAGGUGUGCGAGAGAACUCUGGUUAAGGAACUCGGCAAAAUGACCCCGUAACUUCGGGAGAAGGGGUGCUUUCUUAACGGAAAGCCGCAGUGAAUAGGCCCAAGCGACUGUUUAGCAAAAACACAGCUCUCUGCGAAGCCGUAAGGCGAAGUAUAGGGGGUGACACCUGCCCGGUGCUGGAAGGUUAAGGAGAGGGGUUAGCGUAAGCGAAGCUCUGAACUGAAGCCCCAGUAAACGGCGGCCGUAACUAUAACGGUCCUAAGGUAGCGAAAUUCCUUGUCGGGUAAGUUCCGACCCGCACGAAAGGUGUAACGAUUUGGGCACUGUCUCAACCAGAGACUCGGUGAAAUUAUAGUACCUGUGAAGAUGCAGGUUACCCGCGACAGGACGGAAAGACCCCGUGGAGCUUUACUGUAGCCUGAUAUUGAAUUUUGGUACAGUUUGUACAGGAUAGGCGGGAGCCAUUGAAACCGGAGCGCUAGCUUCGGUGGAGGCGCUGGUGGGAUACCGCCCUGACUGUAUUGAAAUUCUAACCUACGGGUCUUAUCGACCCGGGAGACAGUGUCAGGUGGGCAGUUUGACUGGGGCGGUCGCCUCCUAAAGUGUAACGGAGGCGCCCAAAGGUUCCCUCAGAAUGGUUGGAAAUCAUUCGUAGAGUGCAAAGGCAUAAGGGAGCUUGACUGCGAGACCUACAAGUCGAGCAGGGACGAAAGUCGGGCUUAGUGAUCCGGUGGUUCCGCAUGGAAGGGCCAUCGCUCAACGGAUAAAAGCUACCCCGGGGAUAACAGGCUUAUCUCCCCCAAGAGUCCACAUCGACGGGGAGGUUUGGCACCUCGAUGUCGGCUCAUCGCAUCCUGGGGCUGUAGUCGGUCCCAAGGGUUGGGCUGUUCGCCCAUUAAAGCGGUACGCGAGCUGGGUUCAGAACGUCGUGAGACAGUUCGGUCCCUAUCCGUCGUGGGCGUAGGAAAUUUGAGAGGAGCUGUCCUUAGUACGAGAGGACCGGGAUGGACGCACCGCUGGUGUACCAGUUGUUCUGCCAAGGGCAUAGCUGGGUAGCUAUGUGCGGAAGGGAUAAGUGCUGAAAGCAUCUAAGCAUGAAGCCCCCCUCAAGAUGAGAUUUCCCAUAGCGUAAGCUAGUAAGAUCCCUGAAAGAUGAUCAGGUUGAUAGGUUCGAGGUGGAAGCAUGGUGACAUGUGGAGCUGACGAAUACUAAUAGAUCGAGGACUUAACC
rnacentral:rRNA from 1 species